AUUGAACGCUGGCGGCGUGCUUAACACAUGCAAGUCGAGCGGAGCGGCGAACGGGUGAGUAACGCGUGAGUAACUGCCCCCCUCUCUGGGAUAACAGUUGGAAACGGCUGCUAAUACCUGAUAGUGGGGGAUGACUCGGGUCCUAUCAGCUUGUUGGUGGGGUAGUGGCCUACCAAGGCGACGACGGGUAGCCGGCCUGGGAGGGCGACCGGCCACAUUGGGCUGAGGGAGGGACCAAACUGCUACGGGAGGCAGCAGUGGCGAAUAUUGCACAAUGGGGGAAAGUCUGAUGCAGCAACGCCGCGGGCGGGAUGACGGCCUUCGGGUUGGAAACCGCUUUAAGCCAUGACGCGGUAGUGGCAGAAGAAGCACCGGCUAACUACGUGCCAGCAGCCGCGGUAAUAC
rnacentral:rRNA from 1 species